UAGGGAAUCUUCGGCAAUGGGGGCAACCCUGACCGAGCAACGCCGCGUGAGUGAAGAAGGUCUUCGGAUCGUAAAACUCUGUUGUUAGAGAAGAACACGAGUGGGAGUAACUGUUCAUUCGAUGACGGUAUCUAACCAGCAAGUCACGGCUAACUACGUGCCAG
rnacentral:rRNA from 1 species